GGAGAGAUGGCUCAGUGGUUAAGAGCACUGGAUGCUCUUCCAGAGGUCCUGAGUUCAAUUCCCAGCAACUACA
rnacentral:tRNA from 1 species